AAAUUCUAGUUUUAGAAACUGAAUACUGUAUGGAGAUCAAAUGUUUAAUCGAUGAGAACAUUUGCAGAACGUUGGCCAAAAUCCAUCUCGCGCCAUUAUCUCACACUGGGCUUCUUCUGGUAGUGAGUGGAAACGCGAACCGGAUGCUUCACAUUUAUACAUCCGGUGAAAUAUCUGGCUCGUUCUAUCUGUGGUCGAGACGCUGAAUCGCUUCCCGUCUGUAUUAGUGACGGACAGAUGCUGACGAAAUACUGCCGGUACUCUUUUGACAUUUUAGUCUUGCUGCACUAAAUUUGACUUCGAGGCGUCGGCAUCUAUACUUCAACAGCCUAUUUAUUCUACACUUCACCCAAAAACAAUUACUUAUUUUGAGGGCAUUUUCGAUCCAAUAAUGGCAAAUUCCGUUGCCUUUCACACUCAGCUAGCCUCCAUCAUGGAGGUUUUAGCUAACGCGGCCGUGGCUGAAAUCUGCGAGCUUGUUGACAAUGGCUAUGCUGUCCUGCAUUUGGAGAUAUCUCAAGGGCAGAAGGAGAAUGAAGCGUUGAGGAGAAAACUACGGAUGAUGGAGCUGAAAGUGUCUCGUGCGAGUGCCAUGAGAGCGGGAAUGGGAAGCUCAAUCCUCGCGCACAGUCGCUUUCGAACUCACGUUGGCAUGGAAUCGAGAAGGACAUCAAGCAGCGAGGUACAUUGUCGGAGAGGAGUUGAUUCCCAGUUGGUCACCAGCCUGUUUAGGGACGGAAAGUCCCCAGGUGACACUGGACAGACUACCACACAGAGAAAGCCUGCUGCGUUGGAUGAGAUAAAGCCCAAAUCACUUACCAUCAAAGAGGAGAGGCGGGAAGAAGCCUGGGACAAUCAUGACCAACGAGAGAGAUUGAGUACCGGAGCUUUAAAUCACAGUGUUGAUGGAGGAGAAAGACAUUCCAACAUCGUCACAGAGGCCACACAACAAAUCAGCAAACAGGAGAAUGCCAGCUCUUGUAAAUGGGUGAGUGGCGAAACCGACAACAAUGAAAACCUGAGUGUGAACAAAAGAUCUCAAACCCCAGCAUUGGAAGAUGGUGAUGGAAUACUUGACCAUGCAGGCUUUGAUUGUAUGAUGUUUGAGCCCCCCAGACAACUUGGGACCCUUAGCACCCAGGGUCCUGGGGCUGAUCUUCCUGAGUGCUCUUACUCUCAUGUGGAUGUUGUACCUCUUAAUUCUGAGUCAGAGAAUAGUUUUCCCUUUUCGAUGAACAAGGUGAGUCGCUCCAUAACUGAGCACAAACAACCUGUAGCUUACAGAGACAAUAGACAGAGGGUGCCGUUGCCCUCAGAUGAGCCUCACAUGACUGUGCGAAAAGGCAUGGAGACUGGAUCCAAUGCCUUGGUAAUGACGGAUGGUUGGGUCUCCCAUGACAGUCAUAAUAACGACGCUGUGAAUUACAACCAAGACGGCACAGCAGGUAACCGGUUCAUUUGUAGUUUCUGUGGUAAGACUUUGGCGUGUCUGAAGAACCUCAAGACACACCUUAGGGUUCACACCGGGGAGAAGCCGUUCAGCUGCAUGCAGUGCGGGAAGCGCUUCUCCGACUCCAGCAACCUCAAGCGACACCAGAGCGUUCACACGGGGGAGAGACGCUACGGCUGCAGCCACUGCGGCAAGCGCUUCGCCCAGUCGGGGCACCUCAAAGUGCACCUUAGCGUACACACAGGAUGCAAGCAGUUCCGAUGCCCACAGUGUGGAAAGACUUUCAUAUCGGCCAAUCACCUCAAGAGACACAUCAGUGUCCACGAUGGAGAAGAAAGUAUUUUACCAACCACUUUUCAGUGAGUGAAAGCAUACCCAAACGUGCUCCAGCCCAGCUUGAACAAAAAAAUGAAUUGGGGGCUCGACUGAAGGAGUUGAUCAUCCAAAAAGUAUUCCAUACACUUUUGAAUGACUGUUUUUGUAACUCUUAUCAUUGAAGUUGUUUAUCACUCAUCCUCAGCCCACUGUGUGAAAAUCGGUUUGCGGACUCGAGGUGUCUCAUCAGACAAAACUGUUCACACAGGAGAAAGACCCUCCAUCUGCAUACAGUCUGGUAUAUGGUGAAGGAGAUGAGUAAGCCUGAGUGCAUCGAAUUCAAAGAGGAAAGACAGGAGGACACCAUAAGCCUACAGAAUGACUCAAGGAUUAAAGGCAGUGUUGAAUCAGGUGCUGAUGAAGACAACAGGGGUGUGAUUGGACACACUCAGACCGACAGUCUCUUUGAGGACUAUGAUCCGCACAUCAACGCAGACCAAGAGAGGGAAAGCACGAUCCAGAAGUUUCAGCAUACGAACGUUGCACACCGCGUAUGGAGGCAGGAAUACUCAGGCUUGUGGACACCAAGAAGCAUUGAAACAGAUUCUGAGGAUCCAGCUUGCUCUUAUUCUGAGGAAAUUAGCCCCACUCAUGUCAAAGCUCACACAAAGCAACAACAACAGACUUCCGUAGCUGAGGAAAGCAAGCUGUUCGCUGUUGAAUCUCACAAUGUGAAACCAGUGUCUGCAAUGCUUGAUUCUGAACCCUAUGAAGAAAAAUAUAAAUCUAGCAAUAAUGAUAGCAGUAAUAAUUUGCAUCCGCAAAACAGCAUCUCUUAUGAGACUAGUGAAAACUUUGGAAAUCUUGCUGGGAGUUGUUUCUCUAACAGUCAAGGAAAUAUUAGAGGGAACACAGCUAGGCCCAAGGUGGGCAUAGUUCAACGCUACAUGGCAGGACAUAAAAUGCAACACGGGGUUGGCAAGCGAGAAAAACGGUUUGUUUGUGGCUUCUGCAGAAAAAGUUUCACUUGUCCAAAGUAUCUUCAGUCUCACCAGCGGGUUCACACGGGAGAAAAACCCUUCAGCUGCUCUCAGUGUGGGAAGAGGUUCGGCCAAGCUGUUUAUCUGAAGAAACAUCAGAACGUCCACACGGGAGAGAAACCGUUUGUUUGCCCACUGUGUGGGAAGCAGUUUGCAGAUGCAAGUAAUCUCAUCAGACACAAGAGUGUUCAUACAGGAGAAAGACCCUUCAUCUGAAUACAGUCUGGGGAGAGGUUUGCUGCGAAGCACAACCUUAUAAUUCACAGAGAGAGAAACACUUCAGGUUGCUCAAAUGCUGGAGAUUCUAUUGUCACUGAGUAUACCAUGGACACAAUUAGUCAGGAAUAAUUCAACUUAACAUUUUGACUGAACACUUGUCUUUAGGCUAUUUGUCAUUUACAAUUGAUGACUGGUCUUGUAAACAAAAUUAAUGGAAAUAAAAUUGUAAAAAAUUGUGUGCACCUCCAUUAAAGCAGCAAUAUGUAACUUGAGCGACACAACCAAAUUCACAUAGAAACCGAAGUUAUAGAUUUGUCAUUCUCAUUGAAAGCAAGUCUAAGAAAUUGUAGAUCUGUUCUAUGUCCGCCAUUUCUAUGCUUUCUGUCCUUAAGUUUUUUACUUUCGGUUUUAUACACCAGCGUCAAUCAGCUGAAAAUAUAUUUUUGGUUAUUGAAAAUAUAUUUCACAUCGGUUUAGAUGGUACAAUAAUUCUUUCCACUAUGCAUUGCUUGUUUUGUCACAAUCUGAAAUUAAUCGAAAUAUUCUAGUUUUUGCAACCAGGAAAUGACAGUGAUUUCUGCAUAUUGAUAGUAAAAUGAUAUCCCACAAAGGC